GCGCUGCCUUAGGUUGUUACUCGGAGAUGAUCGAUCCGUAUUUCGGUGCCGUUUAUGUCGAAGCUUUGGUUGUAAAUUGUUAUGAAUUAUAUACACAUAGUCUAUACCUUGAGCCAAUACCUUGAUUGUUAUUGCGAAAUAGAGCUGUGUUUAUAUCAAAUUUGAAUGUUGAAACUCAUAAAGUUUAUAAAUCCGACGACGUUAAAGGCAGCAUCGCAGGUGAAGUGAUUUUAACGUUAGCACUGCGGUUGUUAGCCUAACACUUUCUUGAAAGAAUACUUUAAAGUUUCAAAUUACUUGUUUUAAGUAGUGAUAUAUUGGAGAUAAAGUCCUUUAGAUUUAAUUACUUUGAGUCGAGAUAGAGGUUUGAACGGAGUGAGUCAACAGUCAGGACGACUUCGUUUUACUGAGAAGAUUUUCGUCUGACCCGUGGAGACCUAUUCUGCUACCUGACUAUUCGGCGGCCUACACAGGAUGACUUGUCUACAGUUCCCUACGAUGAGCGUUGAGACAGAAGGGAUAACGAGUAGCAGCUUGAAAAGUCUCGGCGAAGAACACACACGAGUUUCUCCCUGGCAGGUAUCAGAAAUGGUUUAAGAGUAAGAAGGAUUCUAACAUAAGAACAAAAGAUUCUAAUGAUGUUUGCUCCACUAUACCUUUGCUAACAUGGCCUGAGUGUUGGCAAAGGUCAGAGAGGUGGCAUUAUAAUUUUAUGAUGAUCAUUUAUUUAUUUUGUCAAGUAAAUCCAAUCAGAAUGCCUUGGAGCUACCCGGAUAGCAAACAGGGAUAAUUAGCAUCACUGGGAGAGGUGGUGUCUCCUUGUACUCUGGCCUCCACUCUCUUUUAUCUGUUGUAGGUGGUGGGGAAGCUAAAUAUUGAUGUAGCUGCCCAUACUCACUGAAACUCAAACCACACUGUCCAGCUCUGUGAAGGGCUGUGUUUCAAUGCUGGACUCACUUCUCUCUCACACACUGGGGAAGUUAACUAGCAGUCAGUUUUACUUUGUUUUGUAUCCUUUGCCAAUAAAAGUGUUAUGUGUAAUUUAACUCAAACUUAUUUGUAUAUGUUGGAAUAGGUUCAGCUGUUGUUAGUUGCCAAAAGUUUUUCACACUUGGUCCACUUGCUGUGAGCUCCCUCAAGGGAAUCUUCCUGGAGUUCAGUGUGAAGUCAAAGACUCUUGUAUGUCCUGAGAACU